rnacentral:rRNA from 1 species
UGCUUGGGAAUAUGCCUUAUGGUGGGGGACAACAGUUGGAAACGACUGCUAAUACCGCAUAAUGUCUACGGACCAAAGAGGGGGAUCUUCGGACCUCUCGCCAUUUGAUUAGCCCAAGUGAGAUUAGCUAGUUGGUAAGGUAAUGGCUUACCAAGGCGACGAUCUCUAGCUGGUUUGAGAGGAUGAUCAGCCACACUGGGACUGAGACACGGCCCAGACUCCUACGGGAGGCAGCAGUGAGGAAUAUUGGGCAAUGGAGGUAACUCUGACCCAGCCAUGCCGCGUGCAGGAAGACUGCCC